rnacentral:tRNA from 1 species
GGAGAGGUGCCGGAGUGGUCGAACGGGGCGGUCUCGAAAACCGUUGUUCUCGCAAGGGAACCCAGGGUUCGAAUCCCUGUCUCUCCGCCA